rnacentral:rRNA from 1 species
UGGGGAAUAUUGCACAAUGGGCGCAAGCCUGAUGCAGCCAUGCCGCGUGUAUGAAGAAGGCCUUCGGGUUGUAAAGUACUUUCAGUCGGGAGGAAGGUGGUAAGGUUAAUAACCUUAUCAAUUGACGUUACCGACAGAAGAAGCACCGUCUAACUCCGUGCCAGCAGCCGCGGUAAUACGGAGGGUGCAAGCGUUAAUCGGAAUUACUGGGCGUAAAGCGCACGCAGGCGGUUGAUUGAGUCAGAUGUGAAAUCCCCGGGCUUAACCCGGGAAUUGCAUCUGAUACUGGUAAGCUAGAGUCUUGUAGAGGGGGGUAGAAUUCCAUGUGUAGCGGUGAAAUGCGUAGAGAUGUGGAGGAAUACCGGUGGCGAAGGCGGCCCCCUGGACAAAGACUGACGCUCAGGUGCGAAAGCGUGGGGAGCAAACAGG